GAUCAUGGCUCAGGAUGAACGCUAGCUACAGGCUUAACACAUGCAAGUCGAGGGGCAGCAUCGCGAUAGCUUGCUAUUGCGGAUGGCGACCGGCGCACGGGUGAGUAACGCGUAUCCAACCGUUCCCGCAACUGGGGAAUAACCUUGCGAAAGUAAGACUAAUACCCCAUGGUCUCCAUAGAAGACAUCUGAAAUGGAGUAAAGGUUCCGGCCGGCUGCGGAUGGGGAUGCGUCCG
rnacentral:rRNA from 1 species